ensembl:lncRNA
CAGAGAAUAGAGAGUCCUGAGCACACACGGUUUGCUAUUGGAAAAAGACUCACUCUGGUCCCCACUGCACUCAGAAGAGCCCCGGACCGUUUAUUACACUUUAAUCUACGGCAGCUCUCGUGAUGAGGUACAGAGAUGGUGUUAGUGCAGGUCUGCACUCAUGAAUGUUUGAGCAGGAAUUUCACACUCUAUUUCAGUCAUGGGAGCGGCCAGUGCAAGAGUUGAAUGAGCAUUUUCAUAAAACCCGUCAAUGUUUCCUGGGUACCGUUGCAGCGGAUACGAGGCGGGAUGCCAGUUGAAGUUAUGAUUGUGACUGUGCAGUACGACUCAGAGGGAGAGCCAUGCAGUUAUUGAGUCUCAUAGACGUACAGUAUGCAUGCACUGUUACAGGUGUAGACGGAGGAUGUCAUCCCAUACAGACGGCUGCACUCUAAUCUAGUGUGUGGUUUAUAUCCUUUAUAUACACAAUUUCACAAGACAGUAUUUGUUAUUUUGAAGAACCGAUCAGAAUGUAUAGUUCAUUCGCUGGGGAGAGAGUUGUGUCAAUUUAAUCUAGAGAAAUCACGGCUACACAAUUAAAAACAGUCAAUUUUCUUCUAUGCCGCUGCUCCUUAGAGGGUCGCGGGGGCGGCUGGAGUCAAUCCCAGCUAACAAUUAACAACACGUUAAUGAUAUGUUCUGAU